UUAAAUCUACCUCUUUUCAACCAUAUAUAAGAAGUACUAUUAACUAUUUUAUGUACUGUUUAUAUUGCUUCACUUAUAUAUUUUACUUUUCAGAGUUUCAAAAAAAAGUUAUAUUCCAAUUUGCUGAAAUUAACAACAUUUUAGUAGAUAUAACUGCACAGUUCUCUAAUGAUCCAGAAGAAGGUUUUACACAACGUAAAAUUUCAGAUGAACUUAAUGUUUGGAAAAGAAAAAUUGCAAAUAUAGAUAUCCAAUACAUCGCUUUUGUAUUAGUCAGUUUUAUCUUUAUAGUUUAUAUGUUAUAUAUUGUUACAAUAAUUCUUUUAAAUUGUCAUAAACAUUUUCAAUGUUUCUUUCACAUUGUUUCUUUUUAGGUAAAACAGUUAUCAUUAAUUAGCGGUAAAAAAUCGAGUAGAUACAAUUAAAAAUAUUUUGCUCUUACUACCAACAGACACUAUUUUGUCCGAAUACAGCAUGAAUGGUCUAAAGAA